rnacentral:lncRNA from 1 species
CAUUGCUAAAUGAUUUCUAAAUUUUAUCGUACAAAUAUAACUAUUAUGGAACAACAAACGGAGGUAGACAUACAUAGACAAUUCCGGCGACGAGUUGUGGUAUGUACAUUCAGGCCACAUUUGUGAUCUCCUUUUCUAUUGGAUUUGAAGAAACCAGCCACAUAAAAACCUGUUAUACUUUUCUUCUAUAAUAGAUGAUUAUGAUGAUGCUGCAAAUUAACUGUCUCUUUUUCGACAUCAUCUCCAAAUGGGUAUCUAUCAUUGGUGGACUUAUUACAAUACCAAGUAGAUUAUGGAUAUACUUUUUCAUUGAUUAAAUUGUUCAUUUGGGGUCUAACCUUGAUUAUGAGAAUUGAGCAACGAAUGAUUUUUUCAGAUAAAUGCAUCUACAAGAGAUGAUGGGCUAAACAUUAAUGAUCAUGGUCAUCAGCUUGAGCAUGUUCAACCUAUUAUUGGUUCUUCUCCGUCCACUUCCAUACGCAUCUAGGUCAUUUAAGGUUCAUGUCGUGCAGGUAUGUCGAGGUUGUUUUCGGUAGUGGACUCAUGCUAUGAUUUUGAGCACGCGCGUCUUCAUGGAUGAAGUAAUUUGCCAUAUUGUUAGUUACUUCUCCUACCUAGGUUUAGCAGUCCAAAAAUGCUUAAUCGACAUUUACUUUGACCCGCCUUUGAUUUAAAGUAUCCAAGACACCUUCCCCUGUGGCUCUCUGUUACCUGCAUUUAAGGUUAAGCCAUUGUGAUCAUAUUGAGCCCUGUUAUUACUUUUUGUUCCUGAUUCCUUUUUUUUCCUAUACCUAUGUAGUACUUUUCUUUCUUUAUCUCUUGCAACAGCACACUUUAUCUCUUGCAACAGCACACAACACAUUGGCAAGGAUUGGUUUUUCAAAAUGUCAUGUUUAUUUAGAAUAUUCCAUUCUCCACCAUAUUUUAUUUAAAUGUCUGGUGUAGCUCGGUUGGAGUCAUUUAAAUUGGUCAGUAUCAAUGCUAGAUGUUAACCUUGGUUUAGUUAAAAUGAGAAUGAGUCCUUCAAAUUGAGUGCUGAGACUGAAUUUUGUUUGAUUACAGAUUACAAGAUAAAUAACUAUUCUUCAGGUUAAUAAAUAUUUGCAUAGUUAUAUAUACUGUCAUCUGCCACAUUCACGUAAAAAAAUUCAAUGUUGGAGUUCAAGCUUUAUUGCUUUUAGAUAAGAUUUCUUCCAAAAAUCAGGUUUUCAGUUAUAGGGUUUUACUGAGCAUUGUAUUCACAACUUCUUCUCCCUGCUGCAAUGAAUUCUUUAAAAGGUAUGUUGUUUGCUGUUUCCCAAUUGAUUAGAUGAAUAUUUUAUUGCCGUUCAUUUUUUAUGAUGCAUGAAACAUACAUAUUCAUAUAAUGGGUUAUUGUUGACUAUCUAACCAUUUUGAAUGAUUCAUCAUUGGUUAUUGUUGUGGAAUGGGACCGUAAAUUUUUUUUGGUAUAGUUUUCGAUUUUUAGAGCACUACAUAUAUGUGAUAUUCUAUCUGUGAAAAAUAUUUUUUUGACAAAUCUCGGGAAAAUAAUUGGCUCUUUGUGUAUACGUAUUGGAUUUCCAUGCCGAACCCAUUUGCAGGUGCUAUCAUACAGAUACAGGUUUGGAUCAGGCAGCAGGAUCAUCAGAUAUUUUUACAAAG